rnacentral:rRNA from 1 species
UACGUAGGGCGCAAGCGUUAUCCGGAAUUAUUGGGCGUAAAGAGCUCGUAGGCGGUUUGUCGCGUCUGCCGUGAAAGUCCGGGGCUCAACUCCGGAUCUGCGGUGGGUACGGGCAGACUAGAGUGAUGUAGGGGAGACUGGAAUUCCCGGUGUAGCGGUGAAAUGUGUAGAGAUCGGGAGGAACACCGGUGGCGAAGGCGGGUCUCUGGGCAAUUCCUGACGCUGAGGCGCGAAAGCGUGGGGAGCAAACGGG